UAGUGGUAGUUUGGGAAGUCCUGGCAAAGGUACUGGCAACUCCGGUAUGGGCAAAGUUGGCAGCUGAGAUUUUGGAAGUUCUGGCAGUUUAGGAAGAUCGGGCAUAGGUAAUGUGGGCAAUCCAGGCUGUGGCAAUGUUGGUAGCUCGGGUUUUGGGAGGCCAAUGGGAAGAUCAGGCUUCGGCACAUCUGGCAAACUUACUUCCAAAAGACGGCGAGCCUCCGCUUGAAUUGCAUGGCUGCUGAUUGAUGAUAAGACAAAGAGGAAGAGAAGGUAAAGGGAGUGAUGAGCCAUAGUUAUAGCAGAUGAUUUAUACAGUUCCAAGU
rnacentral:lncRNA from 1 species